AAUUAAAUGGGCAUAUUUAAUCAAGGGUUAAGUUUAGAAGAUCACUUGGAGUUUGAGCGAUUUUUCAUUUAAUUAUUUGUAGUCAAUAAAAUUACAUUUAAACUUUCGAUUUUUUGAGUUAAAAUAAAAAAAUCACCUUUUUUAUCUAAUUUAACUUAACUGUGCGUGUAUGUCAAACGCCAAAAAAUGCGUGAGAGAGGAGGUGUAACAGUCAAAAACAACUGAUAAAUGUCUAUAAUAGCCCUUCUUCCUCCUCUUUGUUUAGCCAUGGAAGAAAAUGAAGAGGCUUCAUCAAAGUUAAACAAAUCUCCGGUUUUUGACAAGGCUUCAAACCCACUCUGAUUCUCGGCGGCGAUGUUGACGGAGACGGUGGUGGGAUUCGCCGGAAAAGCGUGGGCUUUUAGAUUGUGGGGUUUCUCUGUUCGGAUUAGUAGGGGGUUUGAUUAAGAUGAAUCUCGGUUUGGAAGAGGAUGCGUUCAGAUCUGUUAUGCUCUCCCUAUUCAUCUUUCCAUUUUUUCAGAUCUUGAACUGAUUUUAGUUCUCAGAUCUUGAACUGAUUUCAUCUCGGUUUGGAAGUGGAUGUGUUCAGAUCUGUUGUGUUUUUCGAUCUGGAUUUAUUCGUUAUUGCUCUAUUUAUUUGUUCAAAUUGGAUGUUAUCGAUGGUACUGUUAUGUCCAUCGCCGACUCUCCUCAUAUCAGACCCAGGUCGCCCCAAGGCUUCCCACAUCAAUCUCAUUAGACCCAUUUUCAGUUGCACAUCUAAUUUCGUCAAAAUCAAACUAGUCCUACUCUACUCCAAGCCUAACCUGGUAGCCUAUUCGGAAAUGGAUUCGACAAUUAUAGAGUAAGCUUCCAUUCUUAUUUGAGUAAGUCGAGUUUGGAGAUAUUGUAACUUUUACAAGGUGUGAUUUAGCAUAGAAUUAGAUAACAAACUGUUAUAGGUAUUCAAUUUUUACUGGGAUUCCAUCUAAUUAUUGAGGAUAUGCAUUGGGGCUGCUUAUUUAACUUUCGGAUUUGGUAUUGCUUUCCCUUGGUUUUUAAUUGCAUUGGGCUGUUCUGACUGAUUGAUUUGAUCAGCUUGAAAUUUUUUUGGGUUAGAGAUAACUGCAACAGAGGCUAGGUAGUUCAGUUUGGGCAGCGCACACAAGGUGCUCGACAGUUUGCCUCAGU
rnacentral:lncRNA from 1 species